rnacentral:rRNA from 1 species
ACGCUCGACACCUACGGGGGGCAGCAGUGGGGGAUAUUGCGCAAUGGGGGAAACCCUGACGCAGCAACGCCGCGUGAAGGACGAAGGUUUUCGGAUUGUAAACUUCUUUUGUUAGGGACGAAGAAAUGACGGUACCUGACGAAUAAGCUCCGGCUAACUACGUGUCAGCAGCCGCGGUAAUCUGAGCGGGCUGGCAAGGC